ACCCUGCAGACAAAACAACCACAGGAAAUGUAGCUAUCGAUCCGUACUCAGAUUCCUAGUUUAGCACAACCCUAGUUUGGCAGUUCCUACAUUUACUCAGUUACAGUGACUUGAAUUCUUGUUCCUACUGGGGUCAGGAGGAGCUGCUGCCUCUCCAGCUGAUGUUCCAGGGCAACAUCACAAACGCUUCACCUGCUUCUCCACCUUCCCCAGACGUCCCAUCAUGCUCGGGUCUUCAGGUAUCUCCUCGCCACCUGAUUUGGGACGAUCCUUCUCUGCAAUGGGGGUUCCUCUUCCC